GGGGGCUUAGCUCAGCUGGGAGAGCACCUGCUUUGCAAGCAGGGGGUCAUCGGUUCGAUCCGUUAGCCUCCACCA
rnacentral:tRNA from 1 species